GUUGUAUGGUUAAGUGACUAAGCGUACAGGGCGGAUGCCUUGGCAAUCAGAGGCGAAGAAGGACGUGCUAAUCUGCGAAAAGCUUGGAUGAGUCGAUAAGAGGCGUUUAAUCCAAGAUGUCCGAAUGGGGAAACCCGAUGGAUGAAGAAUCCAUCAUUUCAUUGUGAAUACAUAGCAAUGAAAGGCGAACCGGGAGAACUGAAACAUCUAAGUACCCCGAGGAAAAGAAAUCAACCGAGAUUCUGUGAGUAGCGGCGAGCGAAAGCGGAAGAGCCAGUAAGUUUUAGCUAGUGUAUUAGAGGAAUUGGCUGGGAAGCCAAAUCAAAGAGGGUGAUAAUCCCGUACUCGAAAAUACGAUAGUGGAACUAAGCUUACGAUAAGUAGGGCGGGACACGAGAAAUCCUGUUUGAAGAUGGGGGGACCAUCCUCCAAGGCUAAAUACUCCUGAUUGACCGAUAGUGAACCAGUACUGUGAAGGAAAGGCGAAAAGAACCCCGGUGAGGGGAGUGAAAUAGAACCUGAAACCCUGUACGUACAAGCAGUAGGAGCGAGGGAAACCUUGUGACUGCGUACCUUUUGUAUAAUGGGUCAGCGACUUAUAUUUUGUAGCGAGGUUAACUGAAUAAGGGAGCCGAAGGGAAACCGAGUCUUAACUGGGCGUUGAGUUGCAAGGUAUAGACCCGAAACCCGGUGAUCUAGCCAUGGGCAGGUUGAAGGUUGGGUAACACUAACUGGAGGACCGAACCGACUAAUGUUGAAAAAUUAGCGGAUGACUUGUGGCUGGGGGUGAAAGGCCAAUCAAACCGGGAGAUAGCUGGUUCUCCCCGAAAUCUAUUUAGGUAGAGCCUUGAGCGGACACCUUCGGGGGUAGAGCACUGUUUCGGCUAGGGGUCCAUCCCGGAUUACCAACCCGAUGCAAACUGCGAAUACCGAAGAGUGAUACUCAGGAGACACACGGCGGGUGCUAACGUUCGUCGUGGAGAGGGAAACAACCCAGACCGCCAGCUAAGGUCCCAAAGUCUAUAUUAAGUGGGAAACGAAGUGGGAAGGCUUAGACAGCUAGGAUGUUGGCUUAGAAGCAGCCAUCAUUUAAAGAAAGCGUAAUAGCUCACUAGUCGAGUCGGCCUGCGCGGAAGAUGUAACGGGGCUCAAAUAUAGCACCGAAGCUGCGGCAUCAGAUGUAAAUCUGUUGGGUAGGGGAGCGUUGUGUAAGCGGAAGAAGGUGGCUCGAGAGGGUUGCUGGACGUAUCACAAGUGCGAAUGCUGACAUAAGUAACGAUAAAACGAGUGAAAAACUCGUUCGCCGGAAGACCAAGGGUUCCUGUCCAACGUUAAUCGGGGCAGGGUGAGUCGGCCCCUAAGGCGAGGCUGAAAAGCGUAGUCGAUGGGAAACGGGUUAAUAUUCCCGUACUUGGUAAAGCUGCGAUGUGGGGACGGAGAAGGUUAGGUAAGCGGACUGUUGGAAAUGUCCGUUUAAGUUGGUAGUUGGGAGCGGUAGGCAAAUCCGCUGCUCCAUUCAACAACGAGAGAUGAUGACGAGUUCCUAAGGGAAUGAAGUUACCGAUACCCGGCUUCCAGGAAAAGCCACUAAGCGAAAGGCUUUACUAAACCGUACUGAAAACCGACACAGGUGGUCAGGUAGAGAAUACUCAGGCGCUUGAGAGAACUCGGGUGAAGGAACUAGGCAAAAUAGCACCGUAACUUCGGGAGAAGGUGCGCUUACAGUAAUUGUAGUCCCUCGCGGAUGAAGGUGAAGUAAGUCGAAGAUACCAGCUGGCUGCAACUGUUUAUUAAAAACACAGCACUCUGCAAACACGAAAGUGGACGUAUAGGGUGUGAUGCCUGCCCGGUGCUGGAAGGUUAAUUGAUGGUGUUAUCGAAAGAGAAGCUCCUGAUCGAAGCCCCAGUAAACGGCGGCCGUAACUAUAACGGUCCUAAGGUAGCGAAAUUCCUUGUCGGGUAAGUUCCGACCUGCACGAAUGGCAUAAUGAUGGCCAGGCUGUCUCCACCCGAGACUCAGUGAAAUUGAAAUCGCCGUGAAGAUGCGGUGUACCCGCGGCUAGACGGAAAGACCCCGUGAACCUUUACUAUAGCUUGACACUGAACAUUGAAUUUUGAUGUGUAGGAUAGGUGGGAGCCUUUGAAGCAGUGACGCCAGUCAUUGUGGAGGCGACCUUGAAAUACCACCCUUUAACGUUUGAUGUUCUAACGAAGUGCCUGAAACGGGUACUCGGACAGUGUCUGGUGGGUAGUUUGACUGGGGCGGUCUCCUCCCAAAGCGUAACGGAGGAGCACGAAGGUUUGCUAAUGACGGUCGGACAUCGUCAGGUUAGUGCAAUGGUAUAAGCAAGCUUAACUGCGAGACGGACAAGUCGAGCAGGUGCGAAAGCAGGUCAUAGUGAUCCGGUGGUUCUGAAUGGAAGGGCCAUCGCUCAACGGAUAAAAGGUACUCCGGGGAUAACAGGCUGAUACCGCCCAAGAGUUCAUAUCGACGGCGGUGUUUGGCACCUCGAUGUCGGCUCAUCACAUCCUGGGGCUGAAGUAGGUCCCAAGGGUAUGGCUGUUCGCCAUUUAAAGUGGUACGCGAGCUGGGUUUAGAACGUCGUGAGACAGUUCGGUCCCUAUCUGCCGUGGGCGUUGGAUGAUUGAUUGGGGCUGCUCCUAGUACGAGAGGACCGGAGUGGACGCAUCACUGGUGUUCCAGUUGUCUCGCCAGAGGCAUUGCUGGGUAGCUAAAUGCGGAAGAGAUAAGUGCUGAAAGCAUCUAAGCACGAAACUUGCCAAGAGAUGAGUCAUCCCUGACUUUAAGUCAGUAAGGGUUGUUUAAGACUAAGACGUAGAUAGGUUGGGUGUGUAAGUGUAGUGAUACAUUGAGCUAACCAAUACUAAUUGCCCGAGAGGCUUAACCAUACAACGCUCAAG
rnacentral:rRNA from 1 species